ACUCCCCUCUCUACAAGCGGCGCUCAAGUAGCGAGUACAGCCGGAUAUCCAUGAGUCCUAGCUCAUUCCUGGACGCCUCCAAUACACCAGAUAAAUCAGAUGUACUGACGGGUGAGUAUUCGUCUCUGUAGCAUUGUGCUUUGUCAUUGCUGCAGUGUUUAUCAAUUUAACAGCAUACCUUAAUUUGGAAAUUUGUUGAUUUAUCCAAUUUAGUUUGAAUGAAAUGUGGUCUCUCAUGUUUUACAGUGAAUCAAAUGUAGCACACGCAUUUAUAUACUUAAAAAAUGAGUUAAAUGUUGGCUUUCUGUAGCAAAAUAAGUAUUUCAUGACAACUGUUUAUUUACAUGUGCAUGUAUAUCUUAUGUAAUUAUGCAUUAAUCUUUUUAAAGAAACAACUGAGAUUGAGGAGAAGUCAAAGGCUGUUCCAUCCAAGUUAUCACCCAGACAACAGGUUGUCAUGGAGUUACUGCAAACCGAGAAGAAUUAUGUGGCCAUAUUGCAUACCAUUUUAAAUGUUUUUAAAUCUGAAAUAGAGAAACCCAAUCAAUACCAUGGUGCCAUUUUGGCUGCACAAGACAUCAAACUAAUUUUUGGAAACAUUCCUCCCAUCUACAAAGUCCAUUGUGAAAUCAAAGAUGAACUGAUGGCCCUCAUGGAAAACUGGACAGAAGAUUGUCUAGUGGGCCAGGUCAUAUCACAGCAUGUAAGUAGGUCAUUUGACUCAUUUCAAGAAAGACUGGUCAGAAAAUAAUUCAUAUGUGGUAAGGACAGUUUGGUUGCAUCAUUAGUUAGAUUUUGACACUUGUUUAGAUCAGAUUUGUUUUCAAACAGUAAUUAGAGCCUAAAAAAUGUUUGCAGUUUCUUUCUUGAUAUGUGUUCAGUUGAACAUGCACAUGUGAGUGCUCAUGGAAUUCCCAAUCUCUAUAACACAAAUUUUUGUGAGCACCUAUUCUGCUACGCAGGCCUCUGGAUAGUCCUCUGUGGUAAAUAUUGUUUUUACAGUGUUUUAUCUGUAAUUAAUUCUGAUUGGUGUACUUUUCAGGCUGAAGCCAUGCUGAAAGCGUAUCCUCCAUUUGUGAAUUACUUUGAGCAGACCAAGGAAACUAUAACCAAAUGUGAUAAAUCCAAUACAAGAUUCCAUGCUUUCCUCAAGGUAAGAACGAUUCACUGAGUAUGCUGUUUGGUGGGUUUUUAUUUAUUAGCCUUUUCUCUGGCACAAUGGACUGCCUCAGAACAUGGCCAUCAGUCAUUUUGGAUACCUUCACUCCUACCACAUUCCAUGAUUUUCUUCCUAUUUUUUUGUUUUUUUUUUGAAAAUGGUUUAUAUCUACAAGUAAUCCUUUAAAUGUAAGGAUGUAGAAUUUGUCAGAACUCUGUAUUUUGAUAUAUAUGUGUGUUGUGUAUUACAGGUGUGUUGUAAGACCUCUUAAUAUAAGUGUUGUGUGUUACAGGUGUGUCAGAGUAAGCCAGAGUGUGGGCGUCAGAGUUUGACGGAGCUGUUGAUUCGGCCCGUACAGAGAUUGCCCAGUGUGUCGCUUCUAUUGGGAGGUAAUGUCUGAUCACUGAAAUGGUAUUGACAAGAAAUAUUAACUCUUGAAGAUUUUAGUUUAUUUAGAGUACCUUAAAUGCAAAAUUAAUUGUCCCAAAAAUUAU
rnacentral:misc_RNA from 1 species